rnacentral:lncRNA from 1 species
GGGCAGUGUUCUCCAGCUUGCGGGCUUGGAUUGGUUGAGCUUUCGUGGUCCCGCCCUGGGACCGGAAGUUCUAUCUGGACGCCGAGGCUUCCCGGGCUUCGCCUGUGCAUCUCGGUUUCCUCAUCUGUAAGAUGGAGCUAAGUGCUAUACCUGUGUCGGGGGUUUUGUGAGGAUGGAGAUGACGUGAGUGUACACGGCACACAGAGUUGCUCGAUGUGCACUGUCUUCUGCUGUUAGAAGGAGUGUGUGGUUUGCAGACUACACUCAGCGCAGUGCUAUGCACGCUUCCCGCUGUGGAGAGAUCAGCCAGGAAUGCUUGGCAGUGGUUGCCAGCUCUCCUGGCACAGGGGAACCUUCCCGAACCUUCUAGUGGCACCCAUGUGAUUUAUCUGAUGUUCUGAAAAGUAAGUGAUUUUUAAAAUACUUAAACAUAUGAAAACAUGUGGUUUUAAAGUGACAUGCAUAUGUUUUUUUGAAUUUGAAGACUGUAAGUAUAUAAAUGCAGUUUCAAAUGCCAUUCCCUAUAAAAUAUAGUGGCCUUUACAUUUUCACUCUCUUUAUUUAUGACCUAGGGAAACUAUAUGAUACAGAUAAUCAAUUUUGACAAAAGAGGCAGGCUGUUUUGCAUCCUUUGUUAAAUUAUC